GAUGAACGCUGGCGGCGUGCCUAAUACAUGCAAGUCGAGCGAAUGGACGAGAAGCUUGCUUCUCUGAUGUUAGCGGCGGACGGGUGAGUAACACGUGGAUAACCUACCUACAAGACUGGGAUAACUUCGGGAAACCGGAGCUAAUACCGGAUAAUAUUUUGAACCGCAUGGUUCAAAAGUGAAAGACGGUCUUGCUGUCACUUAUAGAUGGAUCCGCGCUGCAUUAGCUAGUUGGUAAGGUAACGGCUUACCAAGGCAACGAUGCAUAGCCGACCUGAGAGGGUGAUCGGCCACACUGGAACUGAGACACGGUCCAGACUCCUACGGGAGGCAGCAGUAGGGAAUCUUCCGCAAUGGGCGAAAGCCUGACGGAGCAACGCCGCGUGAGUGAUGAAGGUCUUCGGAUCGUAAAACUCUGUUAUUAGGGAAGAACAUAUGUGUAAGUAACUGUGCACAUCUUGACGGUACCUAAUCAGAAAGCCACGGCUAACUACGUG
rnacentral:rRNA from 1 species